rnacentral:rRNA from 1 species
GACGAACGCUGGCGGCGUGCUUAACACAUGCAAGUCGAACGGAAAGGCCCUGCUUUUGUUGGGUGCUCGUUUGGCGAACGCGGGAGUAACACGUGAGUAACCUGCCCCUGACUUUCGGAUAACUUCAGGGAACUCGGGCUAAUACCGGAUAGGAUCUCCUGCUGCGUGUGGGGGGUUGGAAAGAUUCGGCGGUUGGGGCUGGACUCGCGGGUUAUGAGCUUGUUGGUGGGGUAGUGGCUUACCAAGGCUUUGACGGGUAGCCGGCCUUGGAGCGUGACCGGCGACAUUGGGACUACGAUACGGCGCAGAAUCGUACGGGCGGCAGCAGUGGGGAAUAUUGCACAACGGGCGGACGCCUGAGGCAGCAACGCCGCGUGCGGGAAAACGGCCUUCGGGUUGAAAACAGCUUUCGCAUGUGACGAAGCGGGCGUGACGGUAAUGGGUAAAGAAGCACCGGCUAACUACGUG